rnacentral:rRNA from 1 species
UUAAGCGACUAAGCGUACACGGUGGAUGCCCUGGCAGUCAGAGGCGAUGAAGGGCGUGCUAAUCUGCGAUAAGCGCCGGUAAGGUGAUAUGAACCGUUAUAACCGGCGAUACCCGAAUGGGGAAACCCAGUGUGAUUCGUCACACUAUCAUUAACUGAAUCCAUAGGUUAAUGAGGCGAACCGGGGGAACUGAAACAUCUAAGUACCCCGAGGAAAAGAAAUCAACCGAGAUUCCCCCAGUAGCGGCGAGCGAACGGGGAGGAGCCCAGAGCCUGAAUCAGCAUGUGUGUUAGUGGAAGCGUCUGGAAAGGCGCGCGAUACAGGGUGACAGCCCCGUACACAAAAGCGCAUGUGCUGUGAGCUCGAUGAGUAGGGCGGGACACGUGGUAUCCUGUCUGAAUAUGGGGGGACCAUCCUCCAAGGCUAAAUACUCCUGACUGACCGAUAGUGAACCAGUACCGUGAGGGAAAGGCGAAAAGAACCCCGGCGAGGGGAGUGAAAAAGAACCUGAAACCGUGUACGUACAAGCAGUGGGAGCNUGAGGGAAAGGCGAAAAGAACCCCGGCGAGGGGAGUGAAAAAGAACCUGAAACCGUGUACGUACAAGCAGUGGGAGCCCCACCACUAAGCCAGUGGUGAACUCCACAUACGCAUCCUUUGCUGAGGAUACGGUUAACGGAGCGCAAGCGACGUUCAACCGCAAAAGAAGCAGAGGGGGCUUAGUGGUGGGGUGACUGCGUACCUUUUGUAUAAUGGGUCAGCGACUUAUAUUCUGUAGCAAGGUUAACCGUAUAGGGGAGCCGGAGGGAAACCGAGUCUUAAUUGGGCGUUAAGUUGCAGGGUAUAGACCCGAAACCCGGUGAUCUAGCCAUGGGCAGGUUAGGGAAACCGAGUCUUAACCGGGCGUUAAGUUGCAGGGUAUAGACCCGAAACCCGGUGAUCUAGCCAUGGGCAGGUUGAAGGUUGGGUAACACUAACUGGAGGACCGAACCGACUAAUGUUGAAAAAUUAGCGGAUGACCUGUGGCUGGGGGUGAAAGGCCAAUCAAACCGGGAGAUAGCUGGUUCUCCCCGAAAGCUAUUUAGGUAGCGCCUCGUGAAUUCAUCUCCGGGGGUAGAGCACUGUUUCGGCUAGGGGGCCAUCCCGGCUUACCAACCCGAUGCAAACUGCGAAUACCGGAGAAUGUUAUCACGGGAGACACACGGCGGGUGCUAACGUCCGUCGUGAAGAGGGAAACAACCCAGACCGCCAGCUAAGGUCCCAAAGUCAUGGUUAAGUGGGAAACGAUGUGGGAAGGCCCAGACAGCCAGGAUGUUGGCUUAGAAGCAGCCAUCAUUUAAAGAAAGCGUAAUAGCUCACUGGUCGAGUCGGCCUGCGCGGAAGAUGUAACGGGGCUAAACCAUGCACCGAAGCUGCGGCAGCGANGUAAUAGCUCACUGGUCGAGUCGGCCUGCGCGGAAGAUGUAACGGGGCUAAACCAUGCACCGAAGCUGCGGCAGCGAACGUAUCACUUAAAGCGAUUCAGCGGGUUACGAUUGACGGAGCGAAGCGACGUCAAAGCGUAUACAAAGUCGAGUCGGUUUAAGGAUACGUUCGUUGGGUAGGGGAGCGUUCUGUAAGCCUGUGAAGGUGGCCUGUGAGGGUUGCUGGAGGUAUCAGAAGUGCGAAUGCUNGUUGGGUAGGGGAGCGUUCUGUAAGCCUGUGAAGGUGGCCUGUGAGGGUUGCUGGAGGUAUCAGAAGUGCGAAUGCUGACAUAAGUAACGAUAAAGCGGGUGAAAAGCCCGCUCGCCGGAAGACCAAGGGUUCCUGUCCAACGUUAAUCGGGGCAGGGUGAGUCGACCCCUAAGGCGAGGCCGAAAGGCGUAGUCGAUGGGAAACGGGUUAAUAUUCCCGUACUUGGUGUUACUGCGAAGGGGGGACGGAGAAGGCUAUGUUGGCCGGGCGACGGUUGUCCCGGUUUAAGCGUGUAGGUGUGUGUUCCAGGUAAAUCCGGUUCACUUUAACACUGAGGCGUGAUGACGAGGCACUACGGUGCUGAAGCAACAAAUGCCCUGCUUCCAGGAAAAGCCUCUAAGCAUCAGGUAACAUCAAAUCGUACCCCAAACCGACACAGGUGGUCAGGUAGAGAAUACCAAGGCGCUUGAGAGAACUCGGGUGAAGGAACUAGGCAAAAUGGUGCCGUAACUUCGGGAGAAGGCACGCUGACAUGUAGGUGAAGUGAUUUACUCAUGGAGCUGAAGUCAGUCGAAGAUACCAGCUGGCUGCAACUGUUUAUUAAAAACACAGCACUGUGCAAACACGAAAGUGGACGUAUACGGUGUGACGCCUGCCCGGUGCCGGAAGGUUAAUUGAUGGGGUCAGCGCAAGCGAAGCUCCUGAUCGAAGCCCCGGUAAACGGCGGCCGUAACUAUAACGGUCCUAAGGUAGCGAAAUUCCUUGUCGGGUAAGUUCCGACCUGCACGAAUGGCGUAAUGAUGGCCAGGCUGUCUCCACCCGAGACUCAGUGAAAUUGAACUCGCUGUGAAGAUGCAGUGUACCCGCGGCAAGACGGAAAGACCCCGUGAACCUUUACUAUAGCUUGACACUGAACAUUGAGCCUUGAUGUGUAGGAUAGGUGGGAGGCUUUGAAGCGUGGACGCCAGUCUGCGUGGAGCCGGCCUUGAAAUACCACCCUUUAAUGUUUGAUGUUCUAACGUGGACCCGUGAUCCGGGUUGCGGACAGUGUCUGGUGGGUAGUUUGACUGGGGCGGUCUCCUCCUAAAGAGUAACGGAGGAGCACGAAGGUUGGCUAAUCCUGGUCGGACAUCAGGAGGUUAGUGCAAUGGCAUAAGCCAGCUUGACUGCGAGCGUGACGGCGCGAGCAGGUGCGAAAGCAGGUCAUAGUGAUCCGGUGGUUCUGAAUGGAAGGGCCAUCGCUCAACGGAUAAAAGGUACUCCGGGGAUAACAGGCUGAUACCGCCCAAGAGUUCAUAUCGACGGCGGUGUUUGGCACCUCGAUGUCGGCUCAUCACAUCCUGGGGCUGAAGUAGGUCCCAAGGGUAUGGCUGUUCGCCAUUUAAAGUGGUACGCGAGCUGGGUUUAGAACGUCGUGAGACAGUUCGGUCCCUAUCUGCCGUGGGCGCUGGAGAACUGAGGGGGGCUGCUCCUAGUACGAGAGGACCGGAGUGGACGCAUCACUGGUGUUCGGGUUGUCAUGCCAAUGGCACUGCCCGGUAGCUAAAUGCGGAAGAGAUAAGUGCUGAAAGCAUCUAAGCACGAAACUUGCCCCGAGAUGAGUUCUCCCUGAGACUUAAAGUCUCCUGAAGGAACGUUGAAGACGACGACGUUGAUAGGCCGGGUGUGUAAGCGCAGCGAUGCGUUGAGCUAACCGGUACUAAUGAACCGUGAGGCUUAACCUU